UACGAAGGGUGCAAGCGUUACUCGGAAUUACUGGGCGUAAAGCGUGCGUAGGCGGUUUGUUAAGUCUGCUGUGAAAGCCCCGGGCUCAACCUGGGAACGGCAGUGGAUACUGGCAAGCUAGAGUGUGUCAGAGGAUGGUGGAAUUCCCGGUGUAGCGGUGAAAUGCGUAGAGAUCGGGAGGAACAUCAGUGGCGAAGGCAGCCCCCUGGGAUAAUAUUGACGCUCAUGCACGAAAGCGUGGGGAGCAAACAGG
rnacentral:rRNA from 1 species